AGCGAACGCUGGCGGCAGGCUUAACACAUGCAAGUCGAGCGCCGUAGCAAUACGGAGCGGCAGACGGGAGAGUAACACGUGGGAACGUACCCUUCGGUUCGGAACAACCCAGGGAAACUUGGGCUAAUACCGGAUACGUCCGUAAGGAGAAAGAUUCAUCGCCGAAGGAUCGGCCCGCGUCUGAUUAGCUAGUUGGUGGGGUAACGGCCCACCAAGGCGACGAUCAGUAGCUGGUCUGAGAGGAUGAUCAGCCUCACUGGGACUGAGACA
rnacentral:rRNA from 1 species